rnacentral:rRNA from 1 species
UUUUAUUUGAGAGUUUGAUCCUGGCUCAGGAUGAACGCUGGCGGCGUGCCUAACACAUGCAAGUUGAGCGAUUUACUUCGGUAAAGAGCGGCGGACGGGGGAGUAACGCGUGGGGAACCUACCCUGUACACACGGAUAACAUACCGAAAGGUAUGCUAAUACGGGAUAAUAUAUUUGAGAGGCA